AUUUCCAUGAGACACCAUUUGAAUUUUCAAUAUAUCCUUCUUUAUUUAAGUCCUGAUUAAAGCACCAGCUUGCGACGUCAUAUGAGAUGCUCAGCAGCAAAAGCAAUAGCCAACACUUAUCCCACUUUCGUUACCUCCUUGUCAUUGUCCUGAGCAUUUACAUGGAUUGUCUCACUUACCUUUCGAACAGAAUUAUGAGGUAGGGAGUUCCCAUUGUGGCUCAGUGAUAAUGAGCCCGACUCGUAGCCAUGAGGGUCCAGAUUCAAUCCCUGUCCUCGCUCAGUGGGUUAAGGAGCCAGCAUUGCCAUGAGGUGUGGUGUAGGUUGCAGACACAGCUUGGAUCCUGCGUUACUGUGGCUGUGCUAUAGGCUGGAAGCUAUAGCUCCUGUUUGACCCCUAGUCUGGGAACUUCCAUAUACCACAUGUGUGGCCUUAAAAAUGAGAAAGAAAAAAAGAAUUAUGAGGUAGGUUUCAUCAUUUCCCCGAUUUAUAUAUGAUAAUGCUGUGCAUUGGUCCAAUUAGCAAGUGAGGGGCUAGAUUUCAAUGCAAGUAGUUUUACUCCAGGGACGACUUUCUUUUUCGCCUUUUUUUUUGCUUUUUAGGGCCACAGAUGUGGCACAUGGAAGUUUCCAGACUGAAUUUCGAAUUCAGAGCUACAGCUGCCGGCCUACACCACAACCACAGCAAAGCCAGGUCUGAGCCACAUCUGCAACAUACACCACAGCUCACAGCAAUGCCAGAUCCUUUAACCCACUGAGCAAGGUCAGGGAUCGAACCUGCGUCCUCAUGGCUACUACUCAGGUUCUUUACUGCUGAGCCACGAUAGGAACUCCAGGGCCCACUUUCUAAACCACCAGCUUGGCCGUUGUGCCAGUCUCCUCAAACCUCACUGUCAUCUAUAAUACGUACAAAUAGUAUUGACCUGACAUCAUUAAAUCUGACUGUACACAUCCAGGUAUUCUGUAAACCUCACCAUGGCGUGUAUUAAGAUUUUGUUUUGCUUUGGUUUGAUCCUAGUUUAACCAUGCUUCCCUCUUGAUCAUUCAUCCGCUGAUCACUUCAGAUANCUUGGUCUUUCUAUCAUCACAUCAUGCUCUUGGUGGGAUUCCAUCAACAUCAUGCAGGUGCAAUCUGGCACCACCUCACCAUCCCCCUGCCAGUGGCUUCCCUAUCGAUGCUGAUAUGUGGGGCACCGUGGGUCUUUAUUUGGCACGAAUGUAUGCACCAUGCAGAAUGCAAAAUUUUUGAACUCCAAAGGACAAACUUUUGACUGCAAGGAGACAAGAACUAGUGCAAAGCUCUUCUGUCUCCCUCCAUCCCACCACCUCCCCCAGGCACACAGACAAGACAUACGUUCUAUGGCUUUGCCUGAGGACAAUUCUGUGUGAUAAAAUAAAUACAAAUACUUAGCCACAGCCAACUCAAAACCGUAACCCUGUAUUGGCUCUCCCUUCUUACUUGAUUGGUGCCUUUGCUCUCAACCCUGUUCCCAAGGUUCACCCACCUUAAUAAAGAAAUGGUACACGUUUCAUGUGCCUUUGUUUCAUGUUCAGCCUUCUGGAAAACACAGGCCAAGGUAAUAUGUAAUAUAUCCUGGCACUUGCGUUAACAAAAGUUAGUUGAGACCUGGAUAAAGGAAAUAAAACUUCCAUUUGGAAAAGAGGGCAAUGUGAAACAUGCAGAAAUCACCACUACAUGGCACAUAUCAUAAUCGCCUGGCCAUAAAUAACAAGGACAACCUGCCCUGGCAACAGAAGGCAUUCCUUGGUCAACUACUCAGAACGGCCCUGGUUCUGACCUAUGAAUGGACUUCCCUUGUCCUUUGUCUUCCAUGGAGAUAGACUUUGGAAAGGAUGCAAUUUCUGGGGCCUGACCACUUGAGCAGCCCACUUCCUGUUGAUGUGAUUCCUGAACCCUUGGGAUUAUCUCAGGGUUUGAGAAAUACAGGCUCUUUUGGCCAGUCAUAGGGUUUUCUUGGCAGGACAGCUCACUUAAAAAUUUAGUAGGCUGCUGGUCUAUUUGCUUUGGGUCUGUGUGCUUGUGAUCAAUUCCAUGAGCAAGUAUCAAAGCCAACUCCCUUGUCAGUUCACAGCUAUAUGAAACCAGGCAAUUUUAUCUCCUAGAAACAUAUCUCUCUUCUCUUCCCAUUUCACAGGCCCCUUUUGAAUGGCUUCAACCAUAUUCUUGACCUGUGCCUCGAGGCAAUGUGAAAAAUUACUUUGAGCAAGGCCGUCCUAAUAAUCUAUUUCUUAGAUUUAGACUACUCCAUAUCUGUAUCUUCACAGCCUGACUGUUGCCUUUGUCGAGCAAAGAAUGCAUAGCAGGAGGAGCCAGGGGGAAGCCUGGUCUCAGUCGUAUUUCCUUCUAAAUUUCCCCAGCUCCCUGCCUCUGGUGUCACCAGCCUUGACUUGAGGUCGAAUAUCAUGGCAUUUCUGUCCUUGCAAGAGUCCAGAUUAGGCUGUGGACCUUCUGGCAACACAUCACCCUAACUCUUCUUUUUCUCUUCCAUGUCAUACGUGGUCCAUGAGUCCGUUUGUUAAAGUGCAUCCCAAUUUGGAAAGCUGCUCCCCGCAUCCCUCCCAGCCGCUAGAUCAUCCAGUCAUUCCACCACCAUCUUCUCUGUAGGUUUCAUAAUUAUUUCUUAAUAUAACUUUAUUUACCAUGUCUCAUGGGCUCUGGUCCACCUCCUCUGUUCCUAGCCCCCUCCCUCCACUUUGCUCCCUGUGCACAGAAGCCACCUAGCUUUUUAUUCCUUGCAAGGACCAGGCGUGUUUCUGCCUCCAGGCACCCUGGAAUCUCUGCCCUCCCUUCAACAUCCUGAUCAUCCUAAAAUAACAGCACACGUCACUCCUACCCUUUCUCCUGCUUUAUUUUUCUGGAAUAACUAGUCACUACCUAACUUUCUUUUUGGUCCUUUUUUCUAAAGCUUAUCUCUGUGCAUUAGGACAUAGGACCACCAUAGGGCCACAGGUCCCUUGCUGUGCACAGUGCUUGACAGUGGGUGCUCAGUAAACACUCUGUCAGACCCGCUGCCUGCAGCCUCGGCCUGUCUCUUUCGUGCAGGGUGUUUCUGCAGACUGGGAGAAAAAGCCUGACAAGGACUCGUGCCACAGCGAAGAGCUUCAAUAAAGUGCAUGAGGAAGUAAGCGGGGUCUCUAGGAGGAAAUACAGAAAGAUAAUUCAUCUCAGAUGGGAGGAGGGCUAUCCUUUCCCUUGUAAUUAGAGGGAAAAAGAAAUAAUAGUGGAAAUGAACCUAAGGAUGUGAGUUCGAUCCCUGGCCUCUCUGCAUGGGUUAAGGAGCUGGCAUUGCCGUGAGCUGUGGCAUAGUUUGCAGAUGAGGCUCGGAUCUGGCAUUGCUGUGAUGUAGGCUGUCAGCUCCGAUUCAACCCUAGCCCUAGAACGUCCAAGUGCAGCACUCGUGUGCCCCCGCCAAAAAAAAAAAAAAAAA
rnacentral:lncRNA from 1 species